UGAAGAUUGAACACAGUUGUGUAUGAUCUGCCACAGCCUUCUCUUGGGCAUCGGCACACCUCCCGUUCUGGCGCAUGAAUUUUCUUAUGCUGCUUAAGGUUUCUACUAUAUAAUUCAGAGAGUGUUAUCCCAUUAUCCUGCUAUGAAGAUCCUCAACAUUGUGACUACAAAGAUGUCAUCUCUUUUAUUAUUUUAUAAUUACAAAUAAAACCAAUGUUAACCUCUCUUGUCUACAA